UAAUCUUUUUCAGACUUCUUUUUACCUAUUUGCGAGUACUAUUUUCUUCCUAUUUUUUGCACUUAAAUUUUUUAUGACAUGAUACAAAUUUGUGAACUAUUUUUUGUCUAUUUUCUAAACUUGCAUAUUUUCAUUGUUUAUGACUGGCAUCCUAUUCAAAAAGCCCGCUUCUCCUGCCAUUAUCUCUGUUGUUCAUUUUGCGACUUAUUGGUUGUUUUUAGCUGUGGGGUCACAUAUUGAAUAGUGAGCUCAAAGAUGACCAUAAAUAAACAAUGUGUAAAAAGAAAAUGUACGAAAUUUCAAUUUUGUUCCUUUAUUAAUAUUCUUGAUUUUAUUUACAAACUAUAGUAGUGACUAGUGCACUCAAAGAUAACCAUACAUAAACCAUGUGUAAAAAGAAAAUGUACACAUAGAAAUUUCAACCAAAAAAAAUCUCCUUUAUUAAUAGAAAAAAAAGCAUUCGAUCGAGAUAUUCCCGUUCUAUGUGUGCGCAAAGUUUCAACGUAGAGGACAGUACGCAAGUACGUAAUUUGAAAAUUACCCGUUAUUUUUUUCCCCCCACUGACACUGCUGUGCGCAUCGGACUUUUGCUGAUUUUCGUUCAUCAAACGUCUCCAAAUCACACCAAAAUGUCUUCCAGCAAUUAUUCUAGCGAUGAAAUUUCAUCAAGAGAUAGUGACUCCUCAUACUCCGAUGCCUCCUUAUCCCAUUUUAGUGAUUCUUCCCAAGAAAAUGAGCCCGACUAAUGUUCAAAAUAUUACUACUAGUCCCACUCGUAGAGAAACGAGUUUGUUGUCGAAUUACGGACCAUCGACGAGCGGAACUGGCCCCAGAAAACAGCUGAAAAGGUACGUUUAUUUCUGAAACUUAAUUAUAUUAUGAUAUAUAUAUUUUUAUUGUGUCUGUUGUUGAAUAUAAUGCUACUUCAUAGACAUAGUAGGCCUAUAGAAUGUUAUUUUACGUAUCAAUAUUCCCAUGUAGCUAGUGUUGAGGUUGUAGACUACACAACUUCUUAGUGAAGUGUAGUGAAUCUCCAAGUGCAGUGUAGUGUCUGUUAGUGAAUGAGUGAAUGUAAACAAACGUGAUUACAAUAAAUCCACGUAAAAAAAUUCAGAUUUUGUACCAUUACUACGUCUGUCAAUUAUUUUGCCUUGCAUGAUAUAAUGUUUUGAUGUGGUUUUAGGCUAAAUUGUAUCUCAAAUUAUUUUUCUAGGAAUCAGAAAACACAACGCAAGAAGAAGAGCAAGUCUUCCAAGUCCGAGAGUGUGUCUGCGAGAUCAAUUGAAACUAAUCAAGCUACAAUGUACAUGUAACGUACAACCACCAUUCGAUGCCUGUGAACAGCAUGACCAACAUCUGUAUCCUUUACAUUAGUAUUUGUUUCCAUUUUAUUAUGUAAUUCUUAUGUCUAAUCAUUGAGAUUCAUAGGCAAGUACAACAUGUAUGUGUACACAAUGAGUGCCUGCAUAUUGUGAAGAUAAAGGACCAUACAGUAAGACCAUUACUUAUGAUACAUGGUAAUGAUGGUAUACUUUGUAAAACUAUUUGAAAAUAGUAGCAUGUAAGUCUGUCAUUUUCUUGUUUAUAUAUAUCUCAAUGACAUGACAUGUCAUUGAUUUUGUAGUAAGUGUUUCUAGAUUAUGAUGAUUGUAUUAAGAUUUUGACAGUUCAAUUGAGAUUGAGAAAAUUAUGUAACAUGUCAACUGUACAAUAGAGCAUGCAUGCAUUGUUGAAAAAUCUGUUUUAUGAUUUAUUUUAUUUUGUUAUCUUUGUAAAUAACGAGAAUUUUUUUUUUACUUGUCAUGAUUUUCUUGAGGUUUGAAAAUGUUAUUACAUUAUUAAGAGCACUUUGCAAUUAAAUUGUAAUAAAAGAGACAGAAAACAACACUCUCAUGUCAAGAAUACUGCUUUAUUUGGUUACUAGUGAGGGAGAGAGCUUGUGAUCGCCUGGCAUAUCCACAUCGGCUCAGUAAUAGUCCUGAAACUCACCUGAAUACUUUAUUUGAACAAAAAUAGAAAGCUACAUUCUAGGUGGAUGAUAUUUUUUUAAGGCGGAGGCAUAUAGGAGACGCAGUCGCAUUUGUCUUGUUUUUGUUUUUUUAGAGUAUAAUCAUAGCAAACCAAGAACAACUCUAUUACUACAACAUGUACACUACAGUACUUAACCAAAGAUUGUAAAUAUCAGUUAAGUUCUUUUAUUUAUUUGCUUAUAUGAACACACAUACUAUACUAAACUCAUGUCAUUGUGUUUACCUCUCGAAAAUAAAGUACAUGUAUUUUA